GAAACGGUGAGAGACAUGUGGCGAUGUUACGAGUUAGUGCCUUCCGGUGAUGAACCGGGUCGAUACGAAGCAGUCCAACGAGAUGCUACCAUUGCUGAAGCUGAAGGCGAGAACAAGAUUGAAGCAACCCACCUAGAAAGGUCACGUAUCUCGUGCUCGAUGAAGCGGACCGGAUGCUAGACAUGGGUUUUGAACCACAAAUGAAGAAAAUUGUUUCCCAGAUUCGGCCAGAUCGUCAAACACUGGAGUGCUACAUGGCCAAAGAAAGUUGAGCAACUUGCAAGGCAGUUGCUUUCUAACCCUUACAAAGUGGUGAUUGGUUCUUCAGAAUUGAAAGCUAACCAUUCCAUUCACCAACAUGUGGAUAUUAUGACCGAAAAUCAAAAGUAUAGCAAAUUGAUAAAUGCUUAAUGAGGAAGGUCGAGUGGAUGUGGGACAAGUGACACUGACAACUAGAUGGUACCUGUCGGGUCGAAAUGGUGAGAGACAGGUGGCGAUGUUACGAGUUAGUGCAUUUCGGCGACGAACCGGGUGGCAUAUAGCGGAGUUGCAAUCCGUCACACAUCAUGCGAGGCGGAAGCGGAAAUUAACAAACUCGAAAGACGAGUUAUCGAUGUUGUGUUGUCAUUCAUAACCUAACAUAAAGCGGAAUAAUUUAUAAACUAAUAGACGAGUAUAAUGAUGUAAAUUAUUGACUCCGCCGCAACACGCGGGUUUCCCACUAGUAAUCAU